AAUCCGCGGCACAGAACCACGCUCCUGGAUGUUGGUGAGAACAAUUUAGGAGACGCAAAAGACCUAGUGUUUGGGCCCCAUCUUUCCAAGCGCUGGUGUCCCAGACACCCCUUCCACUCUCCGAAUCCCUGUCUGGUCCUGGCUGAAAGGCACUGUCCUGCGCUUCCGUUUCAGCUCCGGCUCCUCCCGGCUUCCCAGUCGGACCUCGGGGGCGGCAUGGGCGCAGGCUGCCAGACACCCGGCCGCUGCUGUGCACCCUGGUCUCAAUGCUGCCGUCUGCUCGGGCUCAUCCAAGGGAACCGAGAGGAAACUGAGGCGCCGGAGAAGCCAAAGACCGCUCUCCUCACCGCUGGUCCCUGCUGUGCGUUCUCACUGCAGCCGUCCGCUGCCCAGACUAGUGUUCGAGUAAGUCUGCCCUCCCUCCCCCUUUAAAUAAAAGAUCAGCUCGAAACCCA